GUUGACCAGAAUACAGGCGUUCAACAUGCAACAUAUGAUAUCCUGUUAUCUCUUAGCAGUGACCAACAGUGAGCAGGGUAUUGGAUUUUAGCCUGGGAAGAGCUCGCUCUCUCUGUAGCCUCGUUGAAAGUGGCGGCGGCGGCGGCGGUGGUCUGUUUCACCGCGUUAGAGAUGGAGGAGAAGAAGCCGGCUCCGCCUGACUGGCCGGGAGGCGGCCGCCUCUCCUGUGAUCCGGGCGACACCGCCGGCGCGGGGCUCUGCUGCGGGGGGUCGGGCCGCUGGAGUCACGGCGCGAUUAUUCCGAGCUGCAGUUUUACAGCCUGUUCGACGCGACUGCCGAGUAAAUACCGCGCCGCGGAUCCGCAGGCAUAAAAAUAUAUAUUACUGACGGCGUAAAACGACGGUCCGGGAUCCGGUUUAUUGGAAGGGAAGGUGUGGCUGAAGCUGUCGAGUAUAUUACACUGCAGACACGCCCGCUGCCCAGUCCCCCACUCCACAAUCCGCGCAGGGUUUUCCUUCUCUCCCCACCUAAUGCUUAGGACCAGCACCAGUUCUCCCAGAUCUUCAUACGAGACUAUUUAUUUCAUAAAUAUAUAGUAUAUGCAGCUCUGGGACCACUUAAGAAUGAGUUACUUUGAUUUUACCAAAUUAAAAAUCUCUGGAAUAUAAUCAAUUGGAAGAUGGAUGAUCAUAAGCCAUUAAACUAAGCUAAACUGCUUGACUUUUUGCACCAGGAGUGGCAUCUAAAAGCAGUGUGUAAGACUGGUGGAGGAGAACAUGCCAAGAUGCAUGAAAACUGUGAUUAAAAACCAGGGUUAUUCCACCAAAUAUUGAUUUC
rnacentral:lncRNA from 1 species